ensembl:lncRNA
CUUGGGGACCUGCAGGGAGGGGUGGGACAGCACCCCCAGCCACUUGCCAGUGGUUUUGAUGACAAAGGGGGCAGGGGCUGAGCCACGGUCAAGUACAGGGGAAUCUGUGGUUCUUCACAGGCCAGUGUUCAGAAACCACAGGAGAGGCAUUUGUUCUGGACUCUGGGACUCCCGUGGUCAGUCCUCCCUGCCUCCAAUGGAUGCCUGAAGCCAGGAAAGCUAGAACCGGAAGAAAAAAGUUUAUGGAAACAGUAAAGCCCAGGGAUGAUGCAGACUAAAGGUGAAAAGUUGGACUGAGGGCGCACUCGAAUUCAGCGCAACUUCAUCUUAACUAUUCAAUAAUGUGUGAAGACGGCAGAAUCAACAUAGACGACCAUUUGGAUUCAAUUUGACAGAAGUGAGUCGCAACCCCCACCCUCACCUGUUUGCGCACACGCACAGAAACCAUGCGGAGGAAACAGACUGGGAACGAGGCAGCCUGUGCUAUAGCGAUGGUUAGGACAUCUCAGUGGAAACCCCGUGUCUGAAGCGGGGAAUUACGUGUCCUCUUUGCCACCCCGCUGUGGUGGGACUGGUGCCGGGACUUGUGCAAAAUCCCGAGAUUCAGCAGGACCAUGACCGCAGCAGAGUCCACGUCCCUCUUGAGAGGAGGGUUUUCCUGCAGUGCAGGCUCUCCCCUAAUGGGGAGGCCGUCAUGGGAGGUGGGGAGUGCACCGCCAUGGCAGUGCCUAGGCAGAGCUGGGGAUGCUGUAUCUGGGUGCUGUAACAGAGAGAGAGAUGGGCUGGACCAGACGACAGCCAACACCUGUCUGCUCUGAAGCUCGUCUGAUUUCAUUAUUAAUUCCCCCAGAGUGGGUUGAAUAACAUCCUCCCAAAUUCAUGCCCAUCCAGACCGUAGAAUAGGUCCUUAUUUGGAAACAGUGUGCUUGCAGAUGCAAUUAUUGAAUAGUUAAGAUGAAGUUGUGCUGAAUUCAAGCGUGCCCUCAAUCCGAUGAGUGAGAUCCUUAUAAGAAAGGGAAGAGGACGCAGAGACAAACCCACAUGGAGACUGAGGCAGAGACUGGAGCAAUGUUGCCGCAAGCCCAGGGCGCCAAGCACCAUUGGCCACGACCAGAAGCCAGAAGGGAGGCCUGGCAUGAUUUCUCCCUGGAGCCUUUGAGACAGCAGGCUGAUACCUUGGUUUCCAACUUUUCACCUUCAGUACUGUGAGAGAAUACAUUUUUGUUGUUUUACAGCCGGUGGUUUUGUGUUAUGGGAGCCCCGGGAAGCUAACACACCCUUUAGCUUUCACCCCCUGUGUUGUCUCUGCGGAGCCUCAGGAAAGGGAAGAAGCUCUCUUGACUUCAUCUUUGUUUUAAAGACCUCCAAGUCUAAUGGAAAAUUCUUGUUAUUUUUCAUGAUGCCGCAUCCCCCACCUUUUCCUUUUAAAAGUAUUUUAUGCUCACAGCCAACGUUGUACCAUCCACAAACAUGUUAUUGUGAGUGCGGUUUGGAUGAAACUGUAAAAAGAGAGCAUGUGCCUCCAUCUCGGCCUUGGGAGCACAAAGCCGAGCACAGCGGUGCCUGGGUGCUCCCAGCUCUGCUUCCUCCCUGCUCCUCCACCAGCUCUGGCCGUGCAUCCCUCUUUCCUUUCUCCUCCUCCUGGCUCCAGCCUCUGAACCUACUUAAUUACCUCUGACUGAAGGUGAUGAAGACAGCGGAAUGG